GUUUAUAAUCGUUCUACAGUGAGGAGAAUUAAAUAUUUGUCCAGAUGUAUGUGGACACCUGAACAAUCACACCCAUAUGUGCUUGCUGAAGAUAUAAUUCCAGAUUUAAUCCCCCAUUUCCUGCUCGAAUAAUCUCCUCUCUUCUGGGAAUGCUUUCCAGGAGAUUUUGGAAUGCUCCUGAGGGGAUGUGUGGCCAUUCCUCCGUACACCAGUGCGUCAGUGAAGCCAGGCGCUGAUGUCGGGUCGAGAAGACGUGAUGCGUAGUCGUCAUUCCAAUUCGAUUAAUCCCAAAGUAGACGGAGAACCGAAUUAAACAAACGAGACAAAAUGAUUAUACCUGGUCAUUUAUUUACCGAACACUGAAAAUGAUCCAAUAUGACAAGUAUCCGCGAGUGGCAAAAGUAUGUGAACCUUUGCUUUCAGUAUGUGGCGUGACCCCAUUGUGCACCAGUGACUGCUGAUCGGUCCUGCACAUCGGCUUGGGGUCUCAUCUCGGAUGUAUUACCCAUGAUUCAAAGCAUGGAGGGUUAUGAAGCUUAUGAUUAUGUGGUAUAUAUUGUAGGAUCAAACAGUACAUGGGGUAUCUACCAGCGCUUAAUAAACAGUUUAAUAAGUUCAUAAACUAUUUACAUGUAUCAUAAAAAGUGGUUUGAUCUUGUUUGAGAAAUAAUUUGACGAGUAUUUUGAAAGACAGACGGUUCUCAAUAAUGGACUCUGGAGUACUAGUCUGCCCUGAGGAAUGUACAAUACAAGGGUAUGAGAAGCAUGAACUUCACCAUUCCGAGAGAAUGGCAAGAAUGUCAAGGUAAUUUUAUCUUAAUACCCUGCCACACGCUAUUACCUGCAUGUCCUUCACAAGUGAGACAUGGCCUGGGGUUUUUCGCUAGCUGCAACAGACUGAUUCUGCAUCCAAGCCAUGACACGUAAUCUGUGAGGUCAUUCGAAUAUAUUUCUGUUCAACCAUUGCAGCAGGAAGUCUGAGGGACAGUGAGGGAGACUGCAACGCACACACUAUGAUUUUAUCCCAACACAACUCAUUUGUGUUGCUCCAUACAGGGCACAUUUAUCUAUACACUGUAGUUUGAGAGCGAUUCUAUUACAUUCUUAUUAAUCCUAUAUCAUGCUAGCUUCUCUGUCUGGCUGUACUUCACAGUUAUCAGUGACAGUUGGAGUCACGGUUAAACCGAGCUUGUUGUUUCCCCUCAUGCCAGCCAUUGAAGCACACAGCCUGGACCACGUCACGGGAAGCUGAGGAAGACGGCAAUUGUUCCAAAAAUGAACCCAAACAAAAAAAGACCGAUGACUUCAUUUGGAAGAGGAGAAAGUUGUGUGAGCUACACAUGAUGUGCAUUGGAAAGCUGCUUUCAUAGCUGGGAUGAAUACGACGUGCUUGGACCUCCAGGGUCUACGUAGACGUACUCCAAGGUGAAGAGGACACUUGAAGACGUGUUACAAACUUGACCCUGUUUGGUGAUAAACCAACUAUUUCGGUGGUUAUAUUAUUACACUAGCCUAUAUAUUCCCCG
ensembl:lncRNA